AUGGCUCGCGGCCAGAUCACAUCGCUACUCCUCUUCCUCCUGCUCUCAUCGACCGCGCUCCCGUGUCUGGCUCAGCAGAGCAACAGCACGGGCCACACCCGUUCGUCCAGAACCGCCGGCGGGUUCUCGCCGACCACCGUCGUCGUGCUCGUCGUCCUCAUCGCGGCCUUCGUCGUCCUCACGCUCUUUUCGAUCUACAUCAACCGCUGCACCGGCGGGCACCCCGUCCCUCGCCGGCCGUACCGUAGCACGGUCCCUGAUCAGCCCGUCGAUGCCGCCGCCCACUCGGAUCGCUGCCGCCCCCGUGGCCUCGACAAGGAGGUCGUGGAGGCCUUCCCGACGGCCGUCUACGGCGACGUGAAGGCGCGCAUGGCGACCAACAAGUCGGGCCCGCUCGAGUGCGCCGUCUGCCUCACCGAGUUCGAGGACAGCGACGAGCUCCGGGUCCUCCCGGCGUGCUGCCACGUCUUCCACCCGGAGUGCAUCGACCCGUGGCUCGCCGGCGCGGUCACCUGCCCGCUCUGCCGGGCCGAUCUCACCGAGCCCCCCGCGAUCCCGGCCGCCGCCGAGAGCCGCGGCUACCUGACGGACACGGCCGUGCAGGAGGAGCCGGAGGAGCUCGACGAGGAGUGCUCGGUGGUCUCUUUCACGGCUGAAUCCCUCACCAGCUUCAGCACGGUAUGGAGGCACGAGUUCACGGGCGCGGAGUACAACCACUACCGCAGGACGCAGUCGGCCAUGGACGCGCCGGACCGGCACACUCUGAGGCUGCCGGAGCACGUCAUGAAGGAGCUCGCCGCCGUCCGGAGGCACCGGCGGGCGGCCAGCCUCGCCGCAGAGUACCCAGACACCGCGGAUCAGAAGACACCGGGGUGGCUGACCUCGUUCCUGCGGUCCAUGUCAUGGCAGCGGCAGAGCCGCGGGGACUCGGACGCCGGGGAGGAGCACGGCGGCAGCAAACGGAUUCAUCCCGUGGCCGGAGCGCCGGUUGAAAAACCGAGCGGGUCGGGGUCCGGCGGGGACGAGAAGAAAGAGAGCUCCGACGUUGACGCGUUAAACCGGGUUUGA
rnacentral:rRNA from 1 species